UACGUAGGGGGCAAGCGUUGUCCGGAAUCAUUGGGCGUAAAGAGCGCGUAGGCGGUCCGGUAAGUCCGUUCUGAAAGUCCGGGGCUCAACCCCGGGAGGCGGGCGGAUACUGUCGGGCUAGAGUCCGGAAGAGGCGAGUGGAAUUCCAGGUGUAGCGGUGAAAUGCGCAGAUAUCGGGAAGAACACCCGUGGCGAAGGCGGCUCUCUGGGACGGUACUGACGCUGAGACGCGAAAGCGUGGGGAGCGAACAGG
rnacentral:rRNA from 1 species